UCCGGUUUAGCAGAGGUCACUUCCUGUUUAUUUGGGGUCACUUCCGGUUUAAAAAGGUCACUUCCGGUUUAAAAAGGUAACUUCCGGUUUACGUGAGGUCACUUCCGGUUUGAUUUGGGCCACUUCCGGUUUACCUGAGGUAACUUCCGGUCUAUUUGGGGUCACUUCCGGUUUGAUUUGGGGCACUUCCGGUUCAUUCUGGGUUCAUUGGGGGCACUUCAGGGUCAAUCCAAGAUGGCCGCCACACUGGAAGUGGGGGUCAAGGGUUGAAUUGUGUAAGCAUAGUGGAAGUGGGGGUGAAUGGGGGUAAAUAUGGUAAGCAUAAGGUGAACAAAGUGAAUAAAGUUGGAAUGGGUUGAAUCGGUCGAAAAAUGUAGAAAUUAGAUUUUCCCUUCUAAU